GAUGAACGCUAGCUACAGGCUUAACACAUGCAAGUCGAGGGGAAACGACAUCGAAAGCUUGCUUCCGAUAGGCGUCGACCGGCGCACGGGUGAGUAACGCGUAUCCAACCUGCCCACCACUUGGGAAUAACCUUGCGAAAGUAAGACUAAUGCCCAAUGAUAUCUCUAGAAGACAUCUGAAGGAGAUUAAAGAUUUAUCGGUGAUGGAUGGGGAUGCGUCUGAUUAGCUUGUUGGCGGGGUAACGGCCCACCAAGGCGACGAUCGGUAGGGGUUCUGAGAGGAAGGUCCCCCACAUUGGAACUGAGACACGGUCCAAACUCCUACGGGAGGCAGCAGUGAGGAAUAUUGGUCAAUGGGCGAGAGCCUGAACCAGCCAAGUAGCGUGCAGGAUGACGGCCCUAUGGGUUGUAAACUGCUUUUAUAAGGGAAUAAAGUUAGUCUCGUGAGACUUUUUGCAUGUACCUUAUGAAUAAGGACCGGCUAAUUCCGUGCCAGCCGCCGCCGUAA
rnacentral:rRNA from 1 species